rnacentral:rRNA from 1 species
GAUGAACGCUGGCGGCGUGCCUAAUACAUGCAAGUCGAGCGAACGGACGAGAAGCUUGCUUCUCUGAUGUUAGCGGCGGACGGGUGGGUAACACGUGGAUAACCUACCUAUAAGACUGGGAUAACUUCGGGAAACCGGAGCUAAUACCGGAUAAUAUUUUGAACCGCAUGGUUCAAAAGUGAAAGACGGUCUUGCUGUCACUUAUAGAUGGAUCCGCGCUGCAUUAGCUAGUUGGUAAGGUAACGGCUUACCAAGGCAACGAUGCAUAGCCGACCUGAGAGGGUGAUCGGCCACACUGGAACUGAGACACGGUCCAGACUCCUACGGGAGGCAGCAGUAGGGAAUCUUCCGCAAUGGGCGAAAGCCUGACGGAGCAACGCCGCGUGAGUGAUGAAGGUCUUCGGAUCGUAAAACUCUGUUAUUAGGGAAGAACAUAUGUGUAAGUAACUGUGCACAUCUUGACGGUACCUAAUCAGAAAGCCACGGCUAACUACGUGCCAGCAGCCGCGGUAAUACGUAGGUGGCAAGCGUUAUCCGGAAUUAUUGGGCGUAAAGCGCGCGUAGGCGGUUUUUUAAGUCUGAUGUGAAAGCCCACGGCUCAACCGUGGAGGGUCAUUGGAAACUGGAAGACUUGAGUGCAGAAGAGGAAAGUGGAAUUCCAUGUGUAGCGGUGAAAUGCGCAGAGAUAUGGAGGAACACCAGUGGCGAAGGCGACUUUCUGGUCUGUAACUGACGCUGAUGUGCGAAAGCGUGGGGAUCAAACAGGAUUAGAUACCCUGGUAGUCCACGCCGUAAACGAUGAGUGCUAAGUGUUAGGGGGUUUCCGCCCCUUAGUGCUGCAGCUAACGCAUUAAGCACUCCGCCUGGGGAGUACGACCGCAAGGUUGAAACUCAAAGGAAUUGACGGGGACCCGCACAAGCGGUGGAGCAUGUGGUUUAAUUCGAAGCAACGCGAAGAACCUUACCAAAUCUUGACAUCCUUUGACAACUCUAGAGAUAGAGCUUUCCCCUUCGGGGGACAAAGUGACAGGUGGUGCAUGGUUGUCGUCAGCUCGUGUCGUGAGAUGUUGGGUUAAGUCCCGCAACGAGCGCAACCCUUAAGCUUAGUUGCCAUCAUUAAGUUGGGCACUCUAAGUUGACUGCCGGUGACAAACCGGAGGAAGGUGGGGAUGACGUCAAAUCAUCAUGCCCCUUAUGAUUUGGGCUACACACGUGCUACAAUGGACAAUACAAAGGGCAGCGAAACCGCGAGGUCAAGCAAAUCCCAUAAAGUUGUUCUCAGUUCGGAUUGUAGUCUGCAACUCGACUACAUGAAGCUGGAAUCGCUAGUAAUCGUAGAUCAGCAUGCUACGGUGAAUACGUUCCCGGGUCU